UCCCUGAGCCAGCCUCCGCUAUGAGCCUUUGCCUUGACCCCUUGAUCUAUUCUUAUUCACUUGGCAACAGUGAUUAAGCCACAGGAGGUUGCAGGUGCUGGAUCAGGCAACAGGGAAAGGAAGAUGAAUAGGAGACAGAUCCUGACCCAAAGAAGGAUGCAGUCGAGUUGGGGAAACAAAUACAUAAAUAAAUCAUUAUAAACCCAUGUGGCAAGUACAUGGGGCACCCAACGCACAGCAAUUUGCUCACUAAAGUAGGUGACAGAGGGGGCAACAUUGGGGCGAAGAGCUUGAAGAAAAUGGUGACGGUGUGGACGGUUAUUAAGGGGAAUCAUUCAGAGGACCAGGUCAAGUGGUUGCUGAGUGACACCAAAUGCCCCGCUGAGGCUGGGCCCCAGGCCAAUCUACAGGCCACUUGAUUUUUCUCCAGCAGGGCUCAGCUAUGAAGGCAUAUUGUGGGACUGUGGUCAGAAAGUGAAGCAUUGGAAGUGAAGAUUUCAGAAGAGGAGCUGCUCUGGGAACAAACACAGGGUCCAGCAUGUGCCCUGGGAAUGGACAGCAGACCAGGAGCCAAGGCAGGAGUCACAGGAAUUACAGAGGCACAGGGACUCCCCCUGUGGUAGGACAGCGGUUCCUGCAGACACUGCUGUCCUGGGACUGAAGUGGUUACGGCAGGAGUGGAAAGAAGGAAACUUGCCCUACUCCAUAGAAGCAGCAAGUCAUACGUUUUUAAAAAGAAACUCCGGUGGCAACGCAAGGAAUAGAUUGUAAAUGUGGAAGCUAGGGCCCAGGAAGCUGAGCGAGAGAUCAUGCAACAUUCCAGGCAAACCAUGAGAAGGGCCCGAUAGGAGGGGCAAUGAGGAGAAGCUGCAGAGACCAGACCUGAGAGGUACUGAGGAAGCAGAAUCAGUGGAGCAUGAUGCCGAAGUGAUUCCUGGAGACUCUGCCAGCAAGGCUCUUCCUCUAGCCACUGUAGUACCAAAGUAAAGGAGCACCAUGCUUGAACAUAUGGGUGCUCUCUCUCUCUAGGGACUUUAGAUCCUGAGCAAGCGACCACAUGGGUAGAAGCAACACAGUUAAUUCAUCCAAGCACGAAGAACCUGACCCAGACUAUUUCUACCACAAGAUUCUCCCUUCCAGCUUGGCUAUCUGUAAGUUUGAGAAGUCAACCUACCAAGUGACUAUUGACAUCUCCCUCCAGGAGAAUUUCAGUCCAUUGUUACUGAUUGGCAGAGUGCUUUGAGAUAUAACAGACGUGGUAAAUGAACUGAAAUGACAUCAAUUGAAAAAAAAUGUUACAAUUUCAUCUA
rnacentral:lncRNA from 1 species